UCGUAUAGUGAUAAGUCUCGUUAAUUCAGUAAAACGAGCGCGAUCUCAAUCUUAUAGUUUGAAUUGUCUGGCUUCGGCUGGAAUAAUUCAGACCAUUUCUCCUCAGGGGAAAGGAAUUAAGAGACCGUCGGUGCAAGGUAUAAACCUGUAACCGAAGGAAGGGUGAGGCGAGAAUA
rnacentral:rRNA from 1 species